rnacentral:rRNA from 1 species
UACGUAGGCAGCAAGCGUUGUUCGGAGUUACUGGGCGUAAAGAGUGCGUAGGCGGUUCCGUAAGUUUGGUGUGAAAUCUCCCGGCUCAACUGGGAGGGUGCGCCGAAGACUGCGGUGCUUGAGUGUGGGAAAGGUAGGCGGAAUUCCUGGUGUAGCGGUGAAAUGCGCAGAUAAUCAGGAGGAACACCAAUGGCGAAGGCAGCUCGCUGGGACGGUACUGACGCUGGAGAACGCGAAAGCGUGGGGAGCAAACAGG